rnacentral:tRNA from 1 species
GCGCCCGUAGCUCAGCGGAAUAAGAGCAUCUGUCUUCGGAACAGAGGGUCGGAGGUUCGAAUCCUCCCGGGCGCA